CACCAUGAUUACUCUAAAACCACGACCGAUACGUAUGGAAUCAGAUAGUAACACAGCUGUACCGUUAGAUGUCGUAUUCGAUGGUGUAUACAUUAUGGAACGUCGCCGUCUACCCGGUUCAAUUUGCUGGAAAGGAAUACCUGAUUUAUUUCUGGACAAGGCUCGCAAUCGGUUUUACACAGUUCCACGUUGCAUUCGAUGAAUAGAUCCAUCACAUCGGGGAAUUUGAAAGCUUGGAAGUAAGCAUAAGCAAUAAUCGAUGCUCCUGUAUUUCCGGUAUCAUUUGUCUUUUGGAACGCACCGAAUAAUUUCGGUUUCAAUAUACAACCUCUUUCGUCCGUUAACUGUAGCGUAUUGGUCGAAGAUUCGUCGCGAGCAAUACAAUCGUGUACCUUGAAAUUUGCAGAUUUUCAUUAAAAAAAGCUAUGUGUAUAUUUAUUCUUUUAUUUAUUUUUAUAUUUUUAUAUUUAUUUAUUAUUUAUUUUUAAUAAGGAAAAAUGAAGACAAAAUUAAAAGUGAAUUAAAAUUAAUAUAAAAAAAUAUUGUUACCUGAAGAUCGAAGCCAGGAUCUCCUUCUACAGAUACAACUAAAGUCAUGGUUUCUCCGAUUUUAACGAGUCCAUCGGCAGUAGGCGCGAAUGGUCCUCGUCCCACUUGUAUAUCCAAUUUAGCGGUUGCUGUGUCACCGCUGAACGUCACUAUUUCCUGAUUCAACAUAUCCACUGAGAAGUUCACCGUCAAGGCCUUAUUGAUGUUCCCUUCCCACAGACAACGAACUCUUCGCACUGUAUCCCAAACUUCUUGUAUUCCUGGUUCGUUCUAAACAAAGAGAAGAAAAAAAGAUAUCGCAAAAAAGUUAAGUGAUUCAAAUUUUAUGGAAAUUAUGCGAAGUUUGAAAUGAAAUUUUACCUGCAAAACUAGAACAUUUUCAAGAUACGCUUGACCAGCUUCACCUGCGAAAUCGUUGAUGAAUUGAGUACCACAAGAAUCCAAACUGACUGUGAACGAAUAUUUCGUUUGCCCAGAAUUUUGUUCGACAUAUCUACAUUCUGGAUUCGUAUAAAAUCCCUACGAAUAUAUAAAGGAUGAGUAUAAAAUGAAUGAUAAAGAUGAAUACAUGACAAUCCAAAAUAUCAUAUUCCUUAUUUACUUUCGAAUAAAUAACACCAUCGAAAGCGCGAUUGAACUCGAUGUUGAUAGUCAUCAUAGUCUUACUGCACUCCACAUCGAGGGAAUGAAUGUGUGGAGGAUGUUUUAAAUCAUCUUCCGUCGCACCUUCACUUAUUGUCGUUCCAGAACCGCUUGUUCCUACAAUGACGAAUAAAAUAUGAAUUACGAUCUCUUCGUGACUUGCUUUGUCAUCGAAUAUAAUCUAUCUAGCUUCGAAAAGAGAAAGCAAUCGAAAACAUAGUACCUUGUCCGCUAGGACCACUGGGUGGUCUGCUUGGUCUAGUGGUUCCACCGCCAGUCUGAGGAGGAAAUGCUCCACCAGGAGUAGAAGAGGGGAAUCCCGAUGAGGAAGGAUAUCCACCUUGAUCGUAUGAAUAUCCAUUGGGCGAAGGAUAUCCAGCAGAAGGCUGUCUAUAAGUAGAUGGUUCUAUGUAUGUAGGACUUGGUCUCUGAGUCGAGUAAUCGUAAGUAGUGGAGAAACCGGAUGGUGUGGAAGUAGCAGGAAAGUUAGAUGUGUAACCAUAAUUUGUCGAGAUUCCACCAGAACCUGAAUAGCCAGAUGUUUGAAUGGAUGUGGAUGGCCGAGAUGUUGAACUAUAUGGUGGAAAAGCGGAAGAACCAACGUUCGAAUAGGAAGGUGUCUCGCUAGGACGAGGAUUGUAAGACGAUGGAUAUAUCUCGAGAGGAGUUGAUCCUUCUGGAGAACGUACGUUUACGUGCACCCUGCCGGUAGAUCCCUUGAAUCCACUCUAGGAUAUUUUGCGCCAUCACAUCUGCAGGCGAUACCGGAGCAGCUCGCUGGACUCUCGAGUGCGCUAAUGGAUUUCAAACGAUUGCUUUGAUCAAAUUCGCUAAGUCUUUAUCCUACGUUAUCGCUUUCUCUCCUUCACAAUCGAUCGUAGUUGAGUAGACUCUGCGAGUCGACUCGUAUCUCGCUUACCAUCUCCGGAUGGCGAUGUUCUGACGAACAAAGCAUGUCCUCCUCCGUAUUCUUGACCCAGAGCCACGGCCAGACCAGCUGCGAUCAGGAAUGUUAUGAUCUCCUUCAUCCUCUUUACCUAGUCGGAGAGUUUUAGAAUCAGGUCCAAUUUAAUCUUCUUAAUAAAAAAUGGCACAAAGAAAAGAAUAAAAUUUGAGAUAUUUCUUGGAUGUUUUGAAAUGCUAAAUGGAAUAUUUUGAUUAUUCUGGAUAGAAUUGACGGACGAGAAUCAUAAUGGCAUUAUUUAAUUUAAGAAAAGGAGGAUGUUUUAAUUGGAUGUUAAAGAACUGGAAAACUUAACAAAUUUUAAGAUUUACAGAGAAAUAGCUUGACAAAUUUCAUUUCAACAGAGUGUCUCAGUACUCUUUGAAAUUUUUACUAUUAUAUUCUCUGUAAAAUAGAGGUGAUAUUUAUUCAAAAAACUGAUAUUUUUAUAUAACCAUAAAAUUACUUAUUCUAUAAUUAUAAAAUAAUAAUAUAAUAUCCAUGAUAUAAUUAAUUUAUAAUUUAAUAAUUUUUUAUUAUUAGGUAAUCAAUUUUGUGGAAUAGCCCAAAAUACUUAAAGAAACACAUUCUUGAAAGUUACAAGAAAAAUUGAAUGUUCUAACAUCAAUAAAAAAAAAAAAUAAACCAAAUUGUAUAUACAGAUCAGAUACAAUACAACAAUUUAAUUUUUUCAGGAAUAUAUUUUAUUAUAAAACAUCAAAGAUCAUACUUUCAAAGCAAUGCUUGUCAAAUUAAAAAAAAAAUAUAUUAUUACUGUUUCUAUUUUUACUAUUAAAAAAUUCUAUGUUUUUUAAUAAAUUUUAAUUUUUUUAAUAAUUUUAAUUAAGAAAAAAACUAAAUGUACACAUAUGUAUAUUCUUAAACAGGUUAAGAAUAUGAAAUUUCAAGAAAAAGAAUAAAAGAAAAAUCGAUACAGUUCGUGACUCGAAAGGGUAAAAAGUAUUGCGUUAAGGAUACCGAGGAGAAGUUGCAACAAAGGGAAAUUCGCAGCACUGUCGCUUUCAACGAAGAAAUAUCCACAUGGCAACGUUCUUCGUCCCUCUGUCGAGCAAAGAGUUCGAGAAGUCAACCGGCGAAUCGUGCUUCACCAAGGUGAAAGGUGAAAGUCGAUUAAUGCUUUUGCACAGUAUGCGCAAAGCAAGACUGCUAUUUCUUUUCCCUCUGUUUCGAUCAAUGGAAACGAUUUUCAAGAUUUUUCUAUCCCCAAUUUGGAUUUAUCAUCCACUUAUUAUGUCUACGAACAUAAGAUAUCUUUUAAUGUCAAUGUAACAUAAACGAACAUAAAUGAUCAUAAACGAA